rnacentral:rRNA from 1 species
GUAUGCAUGUCUAGUAUAGCAUUAUACCGUGAAACUGCGAAUGGCUCAUUAAAUCAGUUAUCGUUUAUUUGAUAGUACCUUACUACUUGGAUAACCGUGGUAAUUCUAGAGCUAAUACAUGCUAAAAACCCCGACUUCGGGAGGGGUGUAUUUAUUAGAUAAAAAACCAAUGCCCUUCGGGGCUCCUUGGUGAUUCAUGAUAACUUCUCAGAUCGCAUAGCCUUGUGCUGGCGACGGUUCAUUCAAAUUUCUGCCCUAUCAACUUUCGAUGGUAAGGUAUUGGCUUACCAUGGUUUCAACGGGUAACGGGGAAUUAGGGUUCGAUUCCGGAGAGGGAGCCUGAGAAACGGCUACCACAUCCAAGGAAGGCAGCAGGCGCGCAAAUUACCCAAUUCCGAUACGGAGAGGUAGUGACAAUAAAUACUGAUACAGGGCUCUUUUGGGUCUUGUAAUUGGAAUGAGUACAAUUUAAACCUCUUAACGAGGAACAAUUGGAGGGCAAGUCUGGUGCCAGCAGCCGCGGUAAUUCCAGCUCCAAUAGCGUAUAUUAAAGUUGUUGCAGUUAAAAAGCUCGUAGUUGAACCUUUGGCCUGGCUGGCAGGUCCGCCUCACCGCGUGCACUUGUCCGGCCGGGCCUUUUCUUCUGGAGAACCGCAUGCCCUUCACUGGGUGUGUUGGGGACCAGGACUUUUACUUUGAAAAAAUUAGAGUGUUCAAAGCAGGCCUUUGCUCGAAUACGUUAGCAUGGAAUAAUAGAAUAGGACGUGCGGUCCUAUUUUGUUGGUUUCUAGGACCGCCGUAAUGAUUAAUAGGGACAGUCGGGGGCAUCAGUAUUCAAUUGUCAGAGGUGAAAUUCUUGGAUUUAUUGAAGACUACUACUGCGAAAGCAUUUGCCAAGGAUGUUUUCAUUAAUCAGUGAACGAAAGUUAGGGGAUCGAAGACGAUCAGAUACCUCGUAGUCUACAUCCAAACUAUGCGACUAGGGAUCGGGCGGGUUUCUAUUGUGACCGGCUCGCUCACUACGAGAAUCGAAAGUGUUGGGUCUGGGGGAGUAUGUCGCAGCUGACUAGC